rnacentral:rRNA from 1 species
CAGUCGCCGCGGUAAUACGUAGGGUCCGAGCGUUGUCCGGAAUUAUUGGGCGUAAAGGGCUCGUAGGCGGUUUGUUGCGUCGGGAGUGAAAACCCAGGGCUUAACUUUGGGCUUGCUUUCGAUACGGGCAGACUUGAGGCAUUGAGGGGAGAACGGAAUUCCUGGUGUAGCGGUGAAAUGCGCAGAUAUCAGGAGGAACACCGGUGGCGAAGGCGGUUCUCUGGCAAUGUUCUGACGCUGAGGAGCGAAAGUGUGGGGAGCGAACAGGAUUAGAUACCCCAGUAGUCCCUGUCUCUUAUAC